CUACGUGCCAGCAGCCGCGGUAAUACGGAAGGUCCGGGCGUUAUCCGGAUUUAUUGGGUUUAAAGGGAGCGUAGGCCGGAGAUUAAGUGUGUUGUGAAAUGUAGACGCUCAACGCCUGACUUGCAGCGCAUACUGGUUUCCUUGAGUACGCACAACGUUGGCGGAAUUCGUCGUGUAGCGGUGAAAUGCUUAGAUAUGACGAAGAACUCCGAUUGCGAAGGCAGCUGACGGGAGCGCAACUGACGCUUAAGCUCGAAGGUGCGGGUAUCGAACAGGAUUAGAUACCCUGGUAGUCCGCACAGUAAACGAUGGAUGCCCGCUGUUAGCGCCUGGCGUUAGCGGCUAAGCGAAAGCAUUAAGCAUCCCACCUGGGGAGUACGCCGGCAACGGUGAAACUCAAAGGAAUUGACGGGGGCCCGCACAAGCGGAGGAACAUGUGGUUUAAUUCGAUGAUACGCGAGGAACCUUACCCGGGCUUGAAUUGCAGAGGAAUUAUUUAGAGAUA
rnacentral:rRNA from 1 species